rnacentral:rRNA from 1 species
UACGUAGGGCGCAAGCGUUGUCCGGAAUUAUUGGGCGUAAAGAGCUCGUAGGCGGCCUGUUGCGUCCGCUGUGAAAUCCCGGGGCUUAACCCCGGGCGUGCAGUGGAUACGGGCAGGCUGGAGGCAGGCAGGGGAGAACGGAAUUCCUGGUGUAGCGGUGAAAUGCGCAGAUAUCAGGAGGAACACCGGUGGCGAAGGCGGUUCUCUGGGCAUUACCUGACGCUGAGGAGCGAAAGUGUGGGGGAGCGAACAGG